GUCAGGCUUGGUGGUAGGCCUGGCUCCCCAGGAGGCUGAGGUGGGAGGAUCACUUGAGCCCAGGAGUUCUAGGCAGUCACACACAAAGCUAAGUUGAUCAGGUGUCCACACUAAGUUUGGCAUCAAUAUGGUGACCUCCUGGGAGUAGGGGAUCACCAGGCUGCCUAAGGAGGGGUGAACUGGCUCAGGUCAAAAUGAAAGAGGUCAAAACUCCUGUGCUGGCCAGGCGCAGUGGCUCACACCUGUAAUCCCAGCACUUUGGGAAGCUGAGGUGGGCAGAUCACUUCAUCUCAAGAGUUGAAGACCAGCCUGGGCAACAUGGCAAAACCCUGUCUGUA
rfam:Nomascus leucogenys chromosome 14, whole genome shotgun sequence.